GAUCAUGGCUCAGGAUGAACGCUAGCUACAGGCUUAACACAUGCAAGUCGAGGGGCAGCAUUGGAGUAGCAAUACUCAGAUGGCGACCGGCGCACGGUGAGUAACACGUAUCCAACCUGCCGCUUACUCGGGGAUAGCCUUUCGAAAGAAAGAUUAAUACCCGAUGGUAUAAAGAGUUCGCAUGUUCUCUUUAUUAAAGAAUUUCGGUAAGCGAUGGGAUGCGUUCCAUUAGAUAGUUGGCGGGGUAACGGCCCACCAAGUCUACGAUGGAUAGGGGUUCUGAGAGGAAGGUCCCCCACAUUGGAACUGAGACACGGUCCAAACUCCUACGGGAGGCAGCAGUGAGGAAUAUUGGUCAAUGGACGAGAGUCUGAACCAGCCCAAGUAGCGUAAAGGAUGACUGCCCUAUGGGUUGUAAACUUCUUUUAUAAGGGAAUAAAGUGAGGGACGUGUCCCUUUUUGUAUGUACCUUAUGAAUAAGGAUCGGCUAACUCCGUGCCAGCCGCGGC
rnacentral:rRNA from 1 species